UACGGAGGGAGCUAGCGUUGUUCGGAAUUACUGGGCGUAAAGCGCACGUAGGCGGCUUUGUAAGUUAGAGGUGAAAGCCUGGGGCUCAACCCCAGAAUUGCCUUUAAGACUGCAUCGCUUGAAUCCAGGAGAGGUGAGUGGAAUUCCGAGUGUAGAGGUGAAAUUCGUAGAUAUUGGGAAGAACACCAGUGGCGAAGGCGGCUCACUGGCUCGUAUCUGACGCUCAGGCGCGAUAGCGUGGGGAUCAAACAGG
rnacentral:rRNA from 1 species